GUAAAAUACUUUUUAAAAUAGCAUUUGCUCAUGUAAAUGAUAAAUAGCACAUUGGCAUGUUGAUUAUGUUGAAGAUCAGGUAGCUUAGCAUGAGCUUCCCCGCUGAAGACGUCAUCACGCUGCCCUGCGCAAUGGGUCGUCAGUCAUGUAGCUUAGCUAUAGCAUUAUUCAUGAUGAUUAACAUCAUCGCAGUUCUUUUUUGCAGCUGUUGACAUCAUGAUUUCCUGAUGUCCAAUUUGUCGACGAACACUUCGCCUAGCAUGAGCAUUUUGAAGGUUUCUACCAAGAUCAUUUUGUUGGCAGGGAGCUCGGUUACCGUUGAAGUCCUGUACAACUUCAUCAACCUGAGAAAUAACAACCCGUGUUUUUGUUCCACACAGGAUUGUCGUCAAAUAACAGCCGGAUGAAGUGACAAAUGGCCGACGGCUAGCAAGCUACGGGUCGCGGAUAACAAGACCGACCCAAAAACACAAUGAGCUCAGCUAUAAUCUGUCUUGUCUGCAUGUGCGCACGCACACACGCACGCACGCACGCACACACA